rnacentral:rRNA from 1 species
UACGAAGGGGGCUAGCGUUGUUCGGAAUCACUGGGCGUAAAGCGCGCGUAGGCGGACUUUUAAGUCAGGGGUGAAAUCCCGGGGCUCAACCUCGGAACUGCCUUUGAUACUGGAAGUCUUGAGUUCGAGAGAGGUGAGUGGAAUACCGAGUGUAGAGGUGAAAUUCGUAGAUAUUCGGUGGAACACCAGUGGCGAAGGCGGCUCACUGGCUCGAUACUGACGCUGAGGUGCGAAAGCGUGGGGAGCAAACAGGAUUAGAUACCCGUGUAGUCC